AGCAGUCGCCGCGGUAAUACGUAGGUGGCAAGCGUUGUCCGGAAUUAUUGGGCGUAAAGGGCUCGCAGGCGGUUUCUUAAGUCUGAUGUGAAAGCCCCCGGCUCAACCGGGGAGGGUCAUUGGAAACUGGGAAACUUGAGUGCAGAAGAGGAGAGUGGAAUUCCACGUGUAGCGGUGAAAUGCGUAGAGAUGUGGAGGAACACCAGUGGCGAAGGCGACUCUCUGGUCUGUAACUGACGCUGAGGAGCGAAAGCGUGGGGAGCGAACAGGAUUAGAGACCCCAGUAGUCCCUGUCUCUUAUAC
rnacentral:rRNA from 1 species